rnacentral:rRNA from 1 species
CCUACGGGCGGCAGCAGUCGAGAAUCAUUCACAAUGGGGGAAACCCUGAUGGUGCGACGCCGCGUGGGGGAAUGAAGGUCUUCGGAUUGUAAACCCCUGUCAUGUGGGAGCAAAUUAAAAAGAUAGUACCACAAGAGGAAGAGACGGCUAACUCUGUGCCAGCAGCCGCGGUAAUCCAGAGGUCUCAAGCGUUGUUCGGAAUCACUGGGCGUAAAGCGUGCGUAGGCUGUUUCGUAAGUCGUGUGUGAAAGGCGCGGGCUCAACCCGCGGACGGCACAUGAUACUGCGAGACUAGAGUAAUGGAGGGGGAACCGGAAUUCUCGGUGUAGCAGUGAAAUGCGUAGAUAUCGAGAGGAACACUCGUGGCGAAGGCGGGUUCCUGGACAUUAACUGACGCUGAGGCACGAAGGCCAGGGGAGCGAAAGGGAUUAGAUACCCCGGUAGUC